UAUAAUUAUAUAUAUACAAGAUAAAUGUAAGUCACAAUUUUUUUUGAGUUUUCAUUUAUGAGCUGUGCUGAUGAUGGUACUCAACUUUUAGUGGCUCUUGCUUUUUGGAGGUGAAGACCUGAGUCUGUGCCCUCAGUCAGCCUAUGAAAUUACAGGAUCAAUCAUUCAAUUAGCAUUUUUUUUCUAAAAGCAAGUUAGGGUGUGCAAGAAAAUAGAGGCUCAUUGUCAGACCUGUGACACACAGAUGUUGAAUAUUCUAACAUACUCAUAUUCAAUGAGUACUAACCUUAAAGUUACAGAGUAUGUCCAUGUACUCAUUUAACUGACCACAGCUCUGUCCCCUAGUCCUGCCGUCAUAGCCUCUCUACAGAGAUCAGCCUCGGCAGUGGUCCCCUGGAUUCCAGUCUGGCAUGUUCCCCAGUCUCUGACUGCCCAGAGCUGGAGGGGCUAGAAGACCUGUCUGCCUCUGAGCUGUCCCUGACAGAGGGCUGGGACCCUGGGCACAUCCCCCUACUGGACCCUGCCUGGGGCCUGGAGUGGAGCAACCUUGUCAAUGCUGCCAAGGCCUAUGAAGCAAAGAGGACAGUGGAGCCCAUUCCUCCCAGCAAGUCCAAGAAGCAUGGAUCAGAGGGUGGACCUGCUGCUUGCCCACCUAAUCAUUACCCUCCUCAGGGCUACAAUGCCCAGCCCACAUUAAGAAGUGAAGUGCCCAGUGAUCUGUCAAGACUUCACCACCUGGAGGCGCUGCUGAGACUCUUGGAGAGCAACCUGGAGAAGGAAAGGGAGGAUAAAGUAGCCCUGAUGGAGGAAGUGACGAUUCUGAGAGAGACCAACCAGCGCCUGUGGGAGGAGUCUCUUUCAUCCAACGAACAACUCUGUAAACUCAGCCUGUUGUGGCCCCAGGAAUGAUGCCUAGAGAGAGAGAAGGACCAGCGACCCUAAGAGGAGAGAGAGAUGAUUUGAAAAGAGGAGUAGAGGAAAAAAUGGUUUCAACAAAGAUAGUACCUUGAAACAGAGUUUUCAAAUGUAAAUUGUCUUCAAAAUGUGAUCAGAGAAAGAGGACAGAUCACGGCGAGUUACCAGAGUUUGUUGUAGAGGUUACUUAUGCUGGGACAGUGACAUGUACAAGCUGGCUAAAUGCUUGAGUUGUUAGCCAGUUCAGUUGUACACAGUUGGUACGUUUUAACUGAAUAUUUCAGUUGUGUAAUCCUCACGUUCUCUCGCCUCUCCUGCUUGUCAAAACCCAUUGGAUGAGAAAACCAGAGGUCCAUCCCCUCUGACCUUCUCCACCAAUGGGUACAAUAAAAUAUUUAAGAAGGCACUGCUGAGAUUUGAACUCAGGAUCUCUUGUUUACUAGACAGGUACUUUAACCAACUAAGCCACAGCACCCAUAGCUGUAAUUUCUGUUGGGUAUGAAAACCCACAACUAUUUUGAAUCAACCCAGUCAUGUUCAUUUAACCCAUAACUCUGUCUAUCAAAAUUACAUGUAAAAA